GGCAUAUGGAGGUUCCCAGGUCAAAUUGGAGCUGUAGCCGCCAGCAUACCCCACAGGCACAGCAAUGCCAGAUCCGAGCCACGUCUGCAACCCACACCACAGCUCACGGCAACUCGGAUCCUUAACCCAGUGAGCAAGGCCAGGGAUCGAACCUGCAUCCUCAUGGUAACUAGUUCGAUUCACUUCCCCUGAGCCACGACUGGGACUCCAGCUUAGUGAGAGAUCUGCCCAAGAGAAAUGAUCUUGUUUAUUUGGAAACAGCACCGGGCCUCAGGGUACAGUUGGUUCAGAGCCUUCGGCUUCCAUUCACUAGCUCCAGGUCUCAUCACACCAGGACUGACCAGCCAACCAGCUGCUUUCCUGCGGGCCUCCUUGCCUCAUGGGCACUGACUCUGUCCCUAAAUAGCACCGCCCUGGCAGCAGGGUGGGGGCAAAGGAGAGGGCACAUUUGGGGAAAGAGAGGUCAGGUUUGCUGCCACGGAACCUCCCUGUGGAGAGGCCAUCCUUCUUUCUGGUUGAGUUGAAGCGCACAAGCCUUGGCUAAUAUCUCUGGGAUUCCAGGCACUUGCCUGUUCUGACCACCUCUUGUUCACUCCGUCCUGAACAGUAUGAGAUGGCUGAACACGUGACACCCAACCCUGGACAGAUGCAACUGACAGCACUUCAUUAGUCCCAUCCUACGCACAGCCUGGGGAGGAGGACCCUGGAUGCCAUAUGGGGCCACAUGGGAGUUGCACUUGGGAGCAGAGGGAACCAGAGGGGCUGGGGGAGGCAGGCUUUGUCUUAACAAGAGGGUGAGGUGCCCCCUGAUUCCCCCAGGAGGAUGUGAUUGACAGGUGUAAACUGUUUCGCAAGCUGGCAAGGUGGUGAAUCCCAUUGGGUGGAAGACCAGGUGGAAGACUAGUUAUCCUUUAGCUAGUUCCCCCUGAAACAUACUGUUUAGUACUUAGCCCGCAGGGCUGCUCUGAGAGUGAGAAUAACAUGCUUAGCACAGUGCCUGGCAUGGAAAUACCGAGGAGGUGUUAGUUAUUAUCAUCUCUCUGGAGACAGUAACCGGGGCGGAUGGCUUCCUCCAGCCUUGUUCAUGGUUGAACAGGUAUUUGAAGGUCUUGCUUUUAGGUUUUGGGUCGUCUGGUGACCGCAUCAGUGGCAGGCAUUACUGUGCUCACAUCGCUGCCUGGGCUUGACAUCCUGAGGCAGCUGUGGAAGGGGUCAGCAAGGAGCUUCAGAGGUUGAGGGGGAGAAACAAUUCUAGCCAAGACCUUUCUAUUAAGCUGAAGAUUUAGACUAUUUAUAAGUUCUUUCCUUUCGCUGUCAAAAAAAAAAAAAUUGUUUUGAUCAGAAAUGGAAACAAAGGGAUUAAAGGAAUCAGAAGAGUGAUUUGUAAUUGGCCUCCAGACUGCACUCCUGUUUCCAUUUGUCAAGAGCAAGCUGGUGAAUAAAACGGCAUGGAAGGACUUUAUUAGCAGUAGCUUUCCUCCUGCAGCCUGGGAUUAGAGGAAUACUUUAACCUUGACACAUUCAUUUUAUGAUCACAAAGCCCUUCGCCUAUCGGUCUGUUUUCCCCUUUUCACAUUGCCCUGAUCCUGGCAGAAGCUCUUAAAAUUAUCAGAGAAUGGUUCUGUCUUUUUCUCUCUGUCUCCUCCUCCUUCUCAUCAUCCCCCAAAUGUACUCACCAGUCUUUACUAAGACAAAGAAAAACAAACCCGUGAGGAUGUGACUGUCACAGUAUUUUCUACGCAGGUGCUAGAAGACUGCCAAAGAGGAAAAUAAGUAUUGCCCUCGAUGAAGAGUCCAUGCAUAUAGGACUGAUUUUCAAAAAGAUAUUUGUCAAAAUUAAAAGAAUUCCAGGGAAAACACCAAAGAGCAUGUAAGAAAAAUAUCAAAUACAUUUAGCCACCAACUCAUCUGCAAGGAACAAAGGAAUUCAGGAAGCUAUAUGUCAGAAAAAUACACAUAAGACAUUUAAUCCAAAUGAAAAGGCUAUAUAAAGGAUAAAUUCAUGAUGAUGAAAAGGAUAUAUAAUCUUGUUAUAAUUGAAAGUCCAUUUGAAAUUGAUAUGGGGUGGCUACCACUGAUAUGCACAAAUCUCUGAGGUUCAAGUGUAAAAUUGACGUGUGUAUUUGUUAAAGUGAGAUCUGUAUGAGUUAAAUGUUCAUUGUAAAACACUUUAGUAUCCCAGAGACACAACCAUCUUUGUUAUUUGAUAGGUGGAGAAAUCUAUCCACAGUACACCAAUUUAUUAUAAUUAUGGAGUUUUACUUUACUUUUGUCUUUAUCCAGCAACAUUUUUGACUUGUUUUAGAUUAAAGUGUAUGUCUCGUUAAUUAUGGCAUUUAGUUCUCAGCUUGUAAUUGGUAUCUGGUGCUUCUAACCCAGUAGAGCCCUUAGUGUUGCUGUUUCAACGGGGGCCUGCUGAAUUCGCCCCAGGUAAACUCAGAUGGAAAGUACCGACUUUCUUAAAUAAUUUCAGUUAUUUCUUGGAGCGUCUGCACUUUAUCACUGUUCCAGCAUAGUGGGCGGGAGUGGUGAAAGGCAGGUAGUACAUCUGACUAUCUUCCAAUCAGAGGGACCAAGAUAGGGGCUGUGUAUCACUGGCAGGGCUGUGUGCCAAAAUGUAAUCACAUAGGAAACUGGGUGCCAAUGGUAAUUUUUUGAAAUGUGCUUUUAUGACAUCCUCCACAAAGAUGAAAGCAGGGUUCCUUAAAACAAACAAACAGCACCGGACUUGGGCUCAAGCUCUGAUAUGAAAUUUAUUUAUGUUUUACCAAACCCAACUUGAAAGUAAUUGUACAUGAUUUGAAACUUUUAAUUGUUCUUGUUUUUUCUCUCUGCAAAUAAGGAAAUCCUGACUUUCUGUAAAAAAAAAAAAAAAAAAAUCUAGAUCCUGGCUAUUGGUUUCUUUUCAAGGUUCUGCCACACUAAUUGCUUUCUGUUUGAUUCUGUGCCCUUCUGAAAUUGAAGGUUGCCUCGAGGCAGGAGAAAAGCUGUGGUGGUGACUUGCGGGUUUGGGGACUGGGGUAACCCACAGCGGUGGCUGCAAGCCAGUCUCAUUAUCCCACGGCUCAGCAGGGCCAACCGGGGGGCCCGUUUUCCUGCUUCAGAUCUGAGCCUAUGACUGGAAGGGGUAGAAUCUCAAAGCUUUCUCUUUGCAUUAUUUAUCAUUUCUGACUGAUAACAGCACCACUUUCUUCUAGGAACCAAACACUGGUCAUUAUGGUUUUGUUUUCAUGUGGUAUUUGGUAUUGUAUUUCACUGUUCUUCAACCACAGAUUUACAAACUGGGAAUAUAUUAAAGGAUCUGAGGUUCACAGGAAAUAGGCAUUUCACUUCGUUUCAGCAAUAAUAUGGUAUUACUGCUUCUACACCAGCAUAUUCCUAAUAUCUGAUGGCUUCCUCUAAAUUUGUCUCAACUGCAGUGAUGAAAGGUGGAGUGACUUUAUUGGUGUCUGAGAAUGUGUAUGUGUUCGGUGAAGUCAGAAACAGUUUUAUUCGUGGGUGACCUGAUGGUUUUGUAAAUGAGGUUUCAAAAUCAUAAAUUGAAAGUAUUAAUAAAUGAGUUGUGUAGUUUUCUGGAAAGUCUUAUUUGACGGGGUAUGUGGGCAUCCUUGCUAAAUGAAAACGUCAAACAAGGGGAUAGUUAACAGGGCACGGUAUGGGUCGGGCUGCCUGGGUUCAAAUCCCUGCUCUGUCACUCACUAGCGAGGAAACUUAGUUGAGACACUUUCAUGUGCCUCAGUUUCUCCUAUGCCACUGGAGGAUUUUAAUCCUACCUGGGACUUAAGGUUGUUUUCCACAUGCCUCGUGCUUAGAACAGUGCUGAGCACUUGGUGUUG
rnacentral:lncRNA from 1 species